GACGAACGCUGGCGGCGUGCUUAACACAUGCAAGUCGAACGAAGUGGCGCACGGGUGAGUAACGCGUAAUCAACCUGCCCAUCCGAGGGGGACAACAGUUGGAAAAGACUGCUAAUACCGCAUACUGAAGGAGGGGAUUGCGUCUGAAUAGCUAGUUGGCGGGGAAACGGCCCACCAAGGCGAUGAUCAGUAGCCGGUCUGAUAGGAGGAGCGGCCACAUUGGGACUUAGACACGGCCCAGACUCCCACGGGAGGCAGCAGGGGGGAACCUUCCGCAAUGGACGAAAGUCUGACGGAGCAACGCCGCGGGAGUGAUGACGGCCUUCGGGUUGUAAAGCUCUGUUAAUCGGGACGCGGUACCGGAAUAGAAAGCCACGGCUAACUACGUGCCAGCAGCCGCGGUAAUAC
rnacentral:rRNA from 1 species